AUUUAAAUAGCUUAAAUUAAAGCAUAAUAUUGAAAAUAUUAAUUUGAUGAAAAAUCUUUAAAUA
rnacentral:tRNA from 1 species